ACAAGGUAAAUUUGACUGGGGUUGGGUUUCGCGCGUUUUGGGGAUUUGGAGCAGAGACAACGCAGGAGUCCAGGAGGUGGCGCCAUCGCGGCGGCCACUCAUGGAACGAGGCGUAGACGAAGGGAUCGAGACAAGAGAAUCAAUAGAUUUUGUCAAUGGACGCGAUAGCGAGUACAGGGGUACUGUAGUGUGUCCACGUUUGAGUUUUCGAGUACUAUUGUGUGUUUUCAGAGAAAAAUUGUAGUGUGUUGAGAGGGAGUCGAAGCUGAGUUCGACUCAAAUAAAAUAGAAAAGAAGUGUUAAUUAGUGUUUUAUUUAUCAGCCCUUUUUCUCGACACCGGCGAGUCUCAUCGACCACGAGGACCUGCCGAGAGGAAGCUGGUGCUGAUAUUUGAUCGUCGUGGAUUCGAGGAGGAAUUUCGACAAGGGUAAUAUGAGACAAAGGGAACGAGAUCAACAACAAAAGCUUCAAGGACCUUGGACAAAAUGUAGUCCUCCAUGUAGUCGACAAGGGACGGACAAUUUUUCGACUUGAGUUUUGGUGUUGUGGUUAUGCGUUACUGCUGGGAGUAGUAACGGCCUAGGGGAGGGGUGUUUGUGACGAAGUAAAUUCAUCACAAGGUAAAUUUGACUGGGGUUGGGUUUCGCGCGUUUUGGGGAUUUGGAGCAGAGACAACGCAGGAGUCCAGGAGGUGGCAAGAGGAAUCGAGACAAGAGAAUCAAUAGAUUUUGUCAAUGGACGCGAUAGCGAGUACAGGGGUACUGUAGUGUGUCCACGUUUGAGUUUUCGAGUACUAUUGUGUGUUUUCAGAGAAAAAUUGUAGUAUGUUGAGAGGGAGUCGAAGCUGAGUUCGACUCAAAUAAAAUAGAAAAGAAGUGUUAA